AAGAAAAAGAAAAAGAAAAGAGAAAAAAAAAGGGAAAGGAAAAAAAGAAAAUCCCUCCACUUUUCCUCCUUCUCUCCUUUCUUCUCUUUUCUCUCCCUCUUCAUUUUUUUUGUUGUGUUUUUGUUCUUGUUCUUUUCCCCCUCUUCCACACACAAAAGGGAAGGGAAAGGAAAGGAAAGGAAAAGAAAAGAAAUCUUCAUAUGGAAUUGGAAAUAGAAAAUGGGUUCAAAAGAGAGAGAAAAAAAGACAAGGGGGAAGAUUUAGAAGAGAGAGAGAAUGUUUAUUUUCGAGGAAAUGGAUUUUCUUUGAACCAUCAUCAUUUGGUUGGUUUGAAAGCUGGUCGAAUUUAUGUCAAGACAAUUGCAGAAGAGGACAAGAAAGAUAAAUAUAAUGAUUUAAUUCCUGU
rnacentral:ncRNA from 13 species